GGCAGAAGCUGGGCGGGUUCAGUUAAGGAACCGGCUUGUGGCGAGUCUGCCCAGGAAGACCUCCAGAGUCUAUGAUGUGGAAACCGGGGCGCUCUCUUCCUCACCCCAGGAGGAGGGUCACCUGAGCGCCAUGAAAGACAGCAGUACAACGUGGACGAGCGCGUGCCGGCCGGGCUGCCUUUCUCAGCGUAUCCCUGAGGUCCACAGGCCGCCUCUCCCUCAGGAUCUGGAGGGUUGGUCACUGCCUGCGAUCACCAGUUCAAGCCCUACCAGCGUACAUGGAGGCAGUGUGUUUGUCCCCUGUUUGGGCACUAGGAGGCCAACCUUUUUUUGCAUCGCCCAUCCCAGAGGGACUGUUCUCUUCUUCUGAGGCUUUGCAAGGCUUUAGCUAUUUGGAAAAGGAUCUGUUGGUGGGAUCUGGGACUUUGUUCUCUGUAUUUUGAUCACUUCCUUUACCUCUCAAGACAUCCAGAACUCUACCCUCAGGGAGGAGAUUGGACCUUUAGGCAGCAGGAGAAAAGCCUAGCCUUCACAGGUCAUGGUUUUCUCAAAGGUCAAGUUUCACAUCACAUUGAAUAGAAAGGACAAGGCUGUGAGCUGUAGGCUUUCAGAUCAGUCAAGAAAAUGGGUCACUUCCCUUUGUCACUUUUAGUGUUUGUCCCAGAGCUCAGCUCUGACCCAAAGGCCUUUCCAAUUACCAUCAACAUAGAAACUUGGCUUUUCAUAUGGGGUAUUCUCCCUCUUUUAUGCACUUAUACACUGUCUUGUUUCUCAGAACUGGCCUCCCACGAAGGAGGACUGAAGGGCUCAAGAGGCCUGGUCAGUCAUCCAGGCCCAGUUAAAGCCCCUCAGCCCUAGGUCUAGUGGAGAGGUUUAAUAAAGACUGCAUGUGCUUUUGACUACUGAAA